CGGGGCUCGUGAUAUCUCAUCUCGCCGCCCGUCGCGAGGCGGACGGGAGGGAUGGAUGAGGUUACCUGGAAAAAUCGGGGCGAUCUAGGCGGGCGAACCUCGCCAACGAACGAUCGGACAUGGGAUAACGGAAGAGGGCGUCGGCUCGACUUCGUCGGUUCCUCGGGCCGAGGCACGUACGGUGAAUAGGGACGGUCGGGGCCGCCCGUACCGGGUCGUGAGAGGUGAAAUUCUAGGAUCGACCCGAGACGAACCGCCGCGAAAGCAUUCGGCAAGGACGCUUUCAUUAAUCAAGAACGAAAGUCGGGGGAUCGAAGACGAUCAGAUACCGUCGUAGUCCCGACCGUAAACGAUGCCGACCGAGGGCCCGGAGGAGUUACGUACGACCCUCCGGGCCCUCCCGCGAGAAAUCAGGAGUAUUCGGGUUCCGGGGGGAG
rnacentral:rRNA from 1 species